UGAUGGCUUUCUGUAUUGAGGCCUGAGCU
rnacentral:piRNA from 1 species